GGCGCCCUGUGAAAGAAUCGCAGCUUUCAGACGAAAGUCUGACUGAAACUUUUCGGGAUAUCGGUGAAGCCUUGACUGGUAAUACCGAGGGAACCCCGACAAUAAAUGUCGGGGGCACCGUAGAGACUAGAUACCGAAGAUCCGUACGAUUAAAUUCACGGAUAAGAUAUAGUCCACGCCGUAACGAAAGUUAUGG
rnacentral:ncRNA from 1 species